UCCUCAGAUCGAGGAGGUAGUGACGAAAAAUAUCGAGCUGGCGGUCUACGACUGCCAGCAUCGGAAUGAGAACAAUCUAAAUCUGUUAUCGAGUAACUAGCAGAGGGCAAGUCUGGUGCCAGCAGCCGCGGUAAUUCCAGCUCUGCAAGUGUAUAUCUAUGCUGCUGCGGUUAAAAAGCUCGUAGUUGGAUCUGCGCGAUUAGGGCCCGGUCCGACCUACUGGGUCGUGUACUGGCGCCCGUCGCUUCAUUAGCUGGUCUUGCCCCGAUGUCCUUAACCGGGCGUCGGUCGGUGGGCUAGCGAGUUUACUUUGAAAAAAUUAGAGUGCUCAAAACAGGCGCUUCGCCUGAAUACUCCUGCAUGGAAUAAUGGAAUAGGACCUCGGUUCUGUUUUGUUGGUUUUAGGAGCACGAGGUAAUGAUUAAGAGGAACAGACGGGGGCAUUCGUAUUCCGACGUUAGAGGUGAAAUUCUUGGAUCGUCGGAAGACGAACAACUGCGAAGGCAUUUGCCAAGAAUG
rnacentral:rRNA from 1 species